rnacentral:rRNA from 1 species
CCUACGGGUGGCAGCAGUGAGGAAUAUUGGUCAAUGGGCGCGAGCCUGAACCAGCCAAGCCGCGUGAGGGAAGACGGUCCUAUGGAUUGUAAACCUCUUUUGUCGGGGGGCAAAAGACGCCACGCGUGGCGGUCCGAGAGUACCCGAAGAAAAAGCAUCGGCUAACUCCGUGCCAGCAGCCGCGGUAAUACGGAGGAUGCGAGCGUUAUCCGGAUUUAUUGGGUUUAAAGGGUGCGCAGGCGGAAGAUCAAGUCAGCGGUAAAAUUAAGAGGCUCAACCCCUUCGAGCCGUUGAAACUGGCUGUCUUGAGUGAGUGAGAAGUAGGCGGAAUGCGUGGUGUAGCGGUGAAAUGCAUAGAUAUCACGCAGAACUCCGAUUGCGAAGGCAGCAUACCGGCGCUCAACUGACGCUGAUGCACGAAAGUGUGGGUAUCGAACAGGAUUAGAUACCCGAGUAGUC